GUUGCACUAGCUCAAUUGGAUAGAGCGCUGGCCUUUUAAGCCAGAGGUUGUGGGUUCAAAUCCCAUGUACUUCU
rnacentral:tRNA from 1 species